AGACUCGUAGCUCAGGGGUAGAGCACUACAUUGACACUGUAGGGGUCAGGAGUUCAAAUCUCCUCGAGUCUACCA
rnacentral:tRNA from 11 species